UACGUAGGGUGCGAGCGUUGUCCGGAAUUAUUGGGCGUAAAGAGCUCGUAGGCGGUCUGUCGCGUCGGAUGUGAAAGCCCGGGGCUUAACUCCGGGUCUGCAUUCGAUACGGGCAGACUAGAGUGUGGUAGGGGAGACUGGAAUUCCUGGUGUAGCGGUGGAAUGCGCAGAUAUCAGGAGGAACACCGAUGGCGAAGGCAGGUCUCUGGGCCGCAACUGACGCUGAGGAGCGAAAGCAUGGGGAGCGAACAGG
rnacentral:rRNA from 1 species